rnacentral:sRNA from 1 species
CGGAUUCUUGGUGGACAGCUCUCAUAUCCCCUCCAGGGAAAAUGAUGAAAAAUGUCUUCAGAAAAAUAGCUUUAUGAAGGCAAGAGGAAUUUUUGCACCUGAAAGACAUGUCUGAAAGCUCCUCAGGUCAAAACACAAGUAGUCAAGAGAUUUGUCCAUCUAAUUCACCAUACUACUCUGAUCCAAGUGAGACCCACACUGGGUCAGCUCCAUCAAGGAGAAGAACAUUCCACCCACGUUUGGAUUCUGGAAUAUCAUCCCUGCUUCCAUCAGAUUCUUGUAAGUACCUCACUUUGCAGAAGGUAGAACAACAUGACAUUCAAGGAAGUCAGCUGUGUUGCCCAAGAGUAAGAGAAGGACCCUCUGAAGAAGAGCAACUUUUCAGACAGGUAGAGUGUGCCUUGCUCCCAAGGAAAAGAGUUCUUGACAAAAACAAAUGGGAAAUAUGGCUACAAGAAAACUGGGAAGACUGCAAGAAAUUGAUGGCAAAAUAUGGAAAUAAAAAAAUUAAGUUGACUUUUAGGAAUGCAGUUUACAAGAGCAAUGUGACCACUGACAGUGGUAGCAAUGUAUUUUACACCAAAGUUGACUGACAUUAAAAGUGAAAAUAAAAUAUUCACUAUCUUUGAAGCA